GCGGGUGUAGCUCAGUUGGUAGAGCACUUGCCUUCCAAGCAAGAUGUCACGAGUUCGAACCUCGUCGCCCGCUCCA
rnacentral:tRNA from 1 species